ACCCAAUCCCGGUUAGAGAUGAAAUUUGACUGGUCUUCCCUGUCAUUUUAAAGCAACCUCCUUAACAUCUUACUUAUGGUUGAAGAAUGGUGGCUGUCCCGAUCUGUGAUUUUGGAAAUCUGGCCACCCUGAACAUUACUGAAUACCUCCACUGACAGAUCGUUUCGACUUUCAUGCUCCGUAGGUGAAGUGGCAAUCCCUAUUACAGCCGAUGCUUACGGCUCGCGAGGAGUAGAUGAAAGAGUGGACUGCAAGGCCAUUUCCAGUUUCGAAUGAUCUUCUAGAAUUGGCAAGCUAUCGUGACCUGCAUCACUUGUACAUUCACUCCCAUUUUCGCUGCAGUGGAGCAGAGUGCUGGGAAGUCUGUGCUUUCGCCUGCCUGUUCCAGAAGGAGCUUGGCAAGUGGCAGGUCUUGAUUGACUUUUAAUUCCUACAAGCGUCUCAUGGUUCCCCUGUAGACCUUUCUUAUUUGGAAUAGCCUUCCCAUAUACAAUCUCUGCAAUCUGCAUCUUUCUGCAAAUUUGAUUCCACCUCCUAGUGCUGAAAGCCAGCCACUAAAUGUCUUUUCUUAGUGAGCCAAGUGACUUGCCAACACUUCCACAGAUCUUUGUCAAAGAUUCUGCAGCUCUGCUUCUGUCUUGCUAGCCUGGUGUCUGCUUGGGCAAAAGCAAGAGCUGGUACUAUCGGAAUAAUGCUUGACAACACUGCAAGGAUUUAAGGGGGGAAAAAAUCAACUAUAAUGAAGUUCAUGAUGCAGCUAUUGUAAAGCGGCCCUGAAGUAGGUACCCAUAGCACAUCACCAUCUGCCAGAAGUCUCCCGAGGGAAGGAAUAAGUUGUAAGAAGAAAAAAAAAAAAAAAGUAACACCCUUCAAACUUUAAAAUACUGCUGGGAAUUCUAUUUUUUCUCAACAAAGAUUUAUACAUAUUUAUACAAGCUGAAAUGCAGAUAUGGAAAAAAAAAUCUUGGAAUUGCAGAGGUAAACUGUAUGUAAAUGCCACAAAGUAAUAGACUUGUAGUGCAAAUCACACCAUUUUAUCUUUAAUUUUGCUUUCGUUCCCCCCCCUCCCCCCCUCUCUCCUCUGGCUUAAAGGUGCAUCAGAGAUAUGCAUUUAAGCAUAUUCAGAACACGGGGCGUGAAAUUAAAUGUGUGGCAGAGUGAGAAAAAUAUACAGGCGCUGGAGAUGCCUUAAAAAUAGUCAUUUAUGCAGAUCGAGAGGAGUGAAAUCAUUUGCAAUGGGGUGACCCUCUCUCCAAGCAUUUUUUCCCUCACUGUUCUUUGCUAAUCUCCCCCUGUAUCUUCAUUUUUCAUUGAACUCGCCAGUUUGCUGCUAAGCGGCCUUGUAGAUAAGGCGAAGUGCUAAAAGGAGACGAAAGAAGGAGCUCAGUGGGCCCGUUUCUAUUGCACUUUCACCCAAGGCAAUGGGCAGAAUUUAACGGAUUCCUUCCAACAUAUGUUUUUGCCAGAUAAGUAAACAGUGUGUGUCGGAAAUGAAAAAAAGCAUUUGCAAUUUAAUGACAUUACAGCUCCCAGCUUAGCCCAGCGUGCUGCGAGGCGAAAAGCAGAGAAAAGGGAAAGCGGAAGAAUGGAGCUGAGGUGUCAGUAGUGUUUUUUUUUUCUUUUCUCUAAGCAGCACUCCUACAUUCUCUUAUUCUUUUUAUCCUGCUUUUUCUGUUCCAUCUUGCCAUCCUUCCUUGAAAUACCCUUUUCUGGGAUAUUUUUGUUUUUUGGGUAUUUUGAUAAUUAUUAUUAUCAUAAUUAUUGACUCUCCUCAGUCUCAAUGUCCAUUUCUUUCUGCAUGACGUUUUGUCAGACGCUGCGGGUGUCUUUCUAAAUUUGUUUUCAGUUUCACUUUGCCGCUUAUCAGGAUGUGUGGAAGCAAGACAAAUAAAAAAAAAGAACCCAUUCAAGGCAAAAAUAAAAUCAAAUUAAGUUUUGCUGCUAAUAAAUGGCUUUUGGCCCCUACUUGAAAAAUGAAGCGGUGUGUUUCAGCUUGUAAUGUGUAAAUAAUUUGUCGUCUUUCUGAGCUCAGGCGACUCCAUUGUCACCUUGGGUUAAUUGUUUAUAAAAAGUAGAUUAGAACAUUAGUCUGAUUAUAGACCUUGACCAUUAACGAAUGUAAUGACAAGUUGAGGGUCCAUGGUAUAUCAUGUUCUCACUGCCAGGGCACAUUUUACAAGAUUUAGCAUUGAAUCAUGUUUGUUUGAAGACAGAUCAGAUAACUUCAUUAUUUUUGCAAGAAACAAUUAUUGUAUUCAGUUUUGCCGCCAACUAGUAACAAAAGACUCAAUAAUAUAAUAAAUAAUGAUCAAUUAUACAAGGAAUAAGGAACAUCGUCCUUUAUUUGUUUAAAUUUAUACCACUAAAACAUUCCUCCAGGUACAGUAUCAAAGUUAACAAGGUAAUUGUUAAGGCCAUGUGGAGGUUAUUUGCUAUGGGUUGUGCAGGAAUUGGAUUGAGAUUUUGUUUAAUAUUUAAAUACAGUAUCCCUUUACUGAGGCUGCCCUAUUCAAAGUUAGUUUCUACCUUGUGCCCUAAAUCUCUAAGAAAAGUGUGCAGGGCCAUGUAUUGGUAAAAGCAGGCACAGAAAAUACAUGGAUGGAUGAAUAUCUCUGAGAAAGUUGGAGAACUGUGAUUAGGGAUUUCCACUCGACUUUAAAAUUGGAGCAUGUUACACACGAGUGUAGAUGAGCGGUUAAUUUACAUAUACCUGUGUGCAUUACAUUCAAAUAUUUUAGUUAGUUAUUUGAUUAACUAUACUUGAGUUUUUGUCAGAGUUUUUUUCUUCAAGAUACAGUAAUGGGAGCAUUAAACACGAGUAAGGAGUACAUCACGUAACCUCAUUUAUUCUAUUAAUGAAAAUGAAGUUCUGUAUUUUAAUGCUUUCAUGAGAGUAAAAUGGUAAAGCUUUGCAUACAAGUAAUAGUUUGACUUAUUCGAUACAUGGGGCAGUACGAGUGCUAUCAACUAAAUGGAUGCAUAUUGUUCCACUUGUUAAUAAAAAUGUCACAUUAUGCAAUUAUAUACAGAAUACUAGGUGUUGGUUUUAUAUAAAAUGCUGAGUUGCCAAAUGGUUAUCCCAUUUGAUAGCCGCCAAGCUAAUGGUGCAUUAACCUCAAAAUAAAGACAGUUCUCAGCCGCUGUGCGCCUUGUGCUCUGUCUGCUCUUCAAAUGAUGACAGUGGUUGGUUCUGGAGGCUUUUAAAGUUGUAGAAGAGGAAGGGGAAGAGCAAGAGGCAGAUUUGCCUUAAUUUUGCAAUAUUUGCAAGUUAGAGAAAAAGAAUUAGAAAGUGUGUAAAUAAGAUGCCUAACUACUAGAUUAAAUCUUGUGAAUUUGGAGUUGUCUGUUUUGUCUUAUUCAUAUUAUUAUUAAUACCCAAUAAAAUAACAUCUGUUCUUUACAAGUAAAGGAUAAGUAAUGUUUUUCUUAGUCCAGCAAUGGUCUUGUGCUGUUUACUGCCUUGUGCCCAGUGCUGGCAGAAUUGGCACCAGACUAUAAAUCUUUCAUUCAUUCAUUUUCCACUACAACAUUCUUAGCACAGAGGCCCACAUGUCCUUUUCCCCAUCCACACUUGCCAAUUGGAUCCCAUGGAGAUCCCAAGCCAUCUGAAAGGUACAAUUCUUCCAGAAAGUCCUGGGUCUUCCCUGGGGUCUCCUCACAGCUGGUCAUGCCCAUACAACCUCCAGAGGGAAGUGCCCAGGAGGCAUCUGUAUCAAGUGCCCAAACCACCUCAAUUGGCUCCUCUUGAUGCGGAGGGUCAGAGGCAAUACUCCGAGCCUCUCCAGGGUGUCUGGUCUUCUCACCCUAUCACUAAAGGAGAGCCCAGCCACCCUGCAGAGAAAGCUCAUUUCCAGGGGAGCCAUUCUGGGUUAAGGUGAUUCAAACCUGCUCAGGGUUGCAGGGGCUCUGGGAAUCUUACUGCAGAUAUCAACAGCAAUCACAGAGAGAACUCUCGGCAGGUACCGGAUGAAGUGGCUGAGAGGGCAUUGUUGGUGACUCGUUCCUGCUGAAUAGACCUGAAAAGAGAGCAAGCAAGACGAGAGAGAGAGAGAGAGACACUGGUAAAAGAAAACAUGAGAGAACUGAGUCUGUGUUUUAACUGCUGGAUUUAACUGAUUAUUGGAUCUUGAUGUUUCUUUUAAUGCAAUAUUUUAAAGAUUUAUUUAUUGUUGUUGUUUAUUGAGAACUUUUAACUGCACUGCACAAUAACAUUGUUGCUUUCUAGUGCUUAAUAAACAUGCCAUGUUUUCACUUUGCACUGUAACUUACUG